UUUUUGUUUGAUCCUUGUCUUUAUGACACUACAGUGGCUCCAUGUCAUGUGUGUGCAGCUCAUACAGCUCCAGCAAGACCCAGAGGAGCUGAUUCUUUCUCCUGGAUCAUCUCUGAAAGUCUCCUGCUUUGUAACUGGAGCAGAUGAUCCAUAUCUUUACUGGUACCAGUGGACUCCAGCAGAAGGGUUCACACUGGUAUUUACCUCUGUGACUACUGGGUCAGUAGAUUCAUCUAGCAAAGGCCAGUUUAAGUCACAAAGACCUGGAGAACUUCAGAUAGUUCUGGAGUCUGAUGGAGUGAGUGAGAGUGACUCUGCUGUGUGGUACUGUGCAGCCAGUCUACACAGUGUCCCCAACUAAUAACUGAGCUGUACAAAAACCACACCAGACUGUUAGAGCUUAGGUCUCUUCUUAAAUAGGCAGUUAGAAUACAUUUGUCAUUA